UUAAAAUAAUACUGGAAUGUGAAGUCUUACAAAACAGAUAUAGCCUAGACAGCUGCACUGCAAAUUUCCCUACAAUGCCCUGCCAAUGUGCUUCAACCCUGACCUAGGGUAUGUCUACACUACAGACUUAAGUUGACCAGUGUUAGGUCAAUUUAGAGCCGCC
ensembl:misc_RNA